rnacentral:sRNA from 1 species
UCUGUGUCUGGCUCCUCCCCCAAUUCUAACCAUGGAGGGUUCAGAAAGGGAAAGUCAGAGAGAAGACUAAACACAGGAUGGAAGACAGCCAUAUCCGUCUGCCUUCUUCAGGCUUUCCAUGGCAACCCGCCUAACCAAGGAAGUGGAAAAGGCCAUCUGAGAUCAAAAUCACAGUUCCCAUUACGAUAAGGAACCGGGAAGGACUCCUGGGUGAAUCGCCAUGCCUGAUUCGGUUGAUUUCAAAGCCAACUUUAGACGAUGUCCUGGGACCUUAUGCUACAGCCCGAUGUGGAACAAAGAGAGUGAAACACAUCAAAUCAAUGCUGGACUUCCUAGAGCUCAUUCUACACAGAAGAUUUGAGAAGAAUGAAAACAUUAAAAGCUGUGACAGGUAAGAAAUAUUUGGGGAGACCUGAGAUGAGGUCAUGCAUUGUGAACAGAGAUGAUUUGGAGAAGAAGGACCCAGCAUCUGAUAGUCUCAGAAGAGUCUUUGCAGGAGAAAGUAAAUAGACCCACUGAGCAGUUCUUUGAAAGCAGUACAUGUAUCUGUUUAACAAGCAGUAUUUGUGAGGAAUUCUGCUAGGUAGGCAGAAUCAUGUAGAUUUUCCAAUAAUAUUUUCAUUAAUUGAAGAAACUCUGUCUCUGAGAAAGAGAGGCUCAAAGACAUUCCAUGAACAGUGUAGGGCAAGUCCCCCAGCACUUGCUCUUGGCUCUGUCCUUACUGAUUUCAUGGUCACAAACAAUUCACUUAACAUCUCUGGGAUUCAGUUUUAUACAUUUAUAAGGUAAGUUAGGAAGGUUAGCAAGUCCCCUUUCUCAUUGUGGAUUUUUGAGACCUCAGAUUGUGUAUAUGCACAUGAUCAUGUGUACAAAUAUAGUUCUUGGCAGAUGUUUGGCAUGUGUGUAUUCAAUACGUUGGUUUGUUAUUGCAUUGCCAGAUGACCUCAAAGGUAAUUCCUGAUGUUUCUAUUCUAUAUUCCCAUUGAGGUAGUGAGCAGAGCACAGGCAUCUUUGAGAAAGACUGUAAUCUCCUUUCAUGAACUAAGUAAGCAUAAGGCUAUUUACAACACUUUCUGUGCCUCAGUUUCCUUGUC